CCUACGGGAGGCAGCAGUGAGGAAUAUUGGUCAAUGGACGAGAGUCUGAACCAGCCAAGUAGCGUGAAGGAUGACUGCCCUAUGGGUUUUAAACUUCUUUUAUAAAGGAAUAAAACGAGGCACGUGUGCCUUUUUGCAUGUACUUUAUGAAUAAGGAUCGGCUAACGCCGUUCCAUCAGCCGCGGUAAUACGGAGGAUCCGAGGGUUAUCCGGAUUUAUUGGGUUUAAAGGGAGCGUAGAUGGGUUGUUAAGUCAGUUGUGAAAACUUGCGGCUCAACCGGAAAAUUGCAAUUGAUACUGGCAGUCGUGAGUACAGUUGAGGUAGGCGGAAUUCGUGGUGUAGCGGUGAAAUGCUUAGAUAUCACGAAGAACCCCGAUUGCGAAGGCAGCUUACUAAACUGUGACUGACAUUGAUGCUCGAAAGUGUGGGUAUCAAACAGGAUUAGAUACCCGGGUAGUC
rnacentral:rRNA from 1 species